ensembl:lncRNA
UCAGCCUCCCAAAGUGUUGGGAUUACAGGUGUGAACCACCGUGACCAUCUGAUCUUGGGUUUCUUUUAUCCCAUAGGCAUCACUUGGGCACUUGCUCCUGUGCAACUGGGCCCAAUGGCAGAGCCUUCUAGGGGGUGAGGGAGGAGAUGGUCCUCACUGAAACCAGGUGCAAACCAUCAAUCUAACCUCACCAUUACUAAUCAACAAUGCUGACAAGGGAACAAUGCUAUGCAGGUCUAUUUCUCAUUUCAGUAAAAGUUCAGGCCAAUUCUAGACCUGCUGGAAUCACUUCACAGAGCACAGCAUCUCAAAUGCAACAUGUUCAAAACUGAGAUCUUGAUGGUGCUUCCUCGAUUCUUCCUCAUCCUGCUAAUGACAACUUCAUUAUAUUUGCUCAGACCAAAGACCAUGGCAUCAUGUGACAACUCUCUGUAUUUCAUGCCCCACCUCCAAUCUAUCGACACAUCCUGUUGGUGCUACCUUCAAAAUAUGUUCAGAAUUUGGCUGAGUGCAGUGGCUCACACCUAUAAUGCCAGCACUUUGGGAGGCCAAGAAUAUUUUCAAUCUACUGUUGGUUGAGUCUCUGGAUGUGAAACUCCAAAAGAGAGAGGACGGGUUAUAACCUUAAUCCAAGAGAAACAUAUGACGGUUAUUAAGAUUGCAAUGUCUUUUUAUUAUCUCUGUAGUAACUGGUUACUAAAGUGACUAGUUAUUAAAUAUAUUUUUAAAUAUUAAACAGUUUUUCUUGAGGUAAAGCUCACAGAACAUAAACUUCAUGAUUUAAGAAUAUAUAGAUCUGUUUCUACAAAAAAUAAACAAAUUAGCGGGUGUGGUGGCCCAUGCUUGUCGUCCCAGCUACUUGGGAGGCUGAGGUGGGAGAGUGGUUUGAGCUUGGAGGGUCAAGGCUGCAGUGAGCCAAAAUUGCACUGUAGUACUCCAUCCUGGGUGACAGAGCGAGAUCUUGCCUCAAAAUAACAACAAUAGUAUCUAAUUCACAAUAUUGUACAACCAUCGCCUCUAUCUAGUUCUAAAGCAUCUUCAUUGCCCCCUGCAAAAGGGAACCACUUACCCAUUAAGCAGUCUACUCCCCUUCCCCCUGCUCCUAGUCCUUGGCAACCACCAACCUUUGUCUCUGUAGACUUACCUAUUCUAGAUAGCUCAUGUAAGUGGAAUCAUAUAUUACGUGACCUUUUAGACUGGGUGUGGUGGCUCAUACCUGUAAUCCCAGCACUCUGGGAGGCUGAGGUGGGCAGAUCAUGAGAUCAGGAGUUCAAGACCAGCUUGACCAAUGUGGUGAAACUCUGUCUCUAGUAAAAAUACAAAAAUAAGCUGGACGUGUUGGCAUGUGUCUAUAAUCCCAGCUAUUCAGAAGGCUGACUCAGGAGAAUCAUUUGAACCCGGGAGGUGGAGGUUGUAAUGCGCUGAGAUUGUGCUACUGCACUCCAGCCUGGGUGACAGAGCGAGACUUCAUUAAAAAAAAAAAAGUGACUUUUUUGUAUGGCUUCUUUUACUAAGCAGGUUUUCAAGUUUCAUCCACCUCAUAGGACAUGUCGGUA